rnacentral:rRNA from 1 species
GACGAACGCUGGCGGCGUGCCUAAUACAUGCAAGUCGAACGCAGUGGGGACGGGUGAGUAACACGUGGGUAACCUCCCAUCAAAGGGGAUAACACUUGGAAACAGCGGCUAAAGCGAUACCGGUGGAGGGACACGCGGUGAAUUAGCUAGUUGGUGAGGAAACGGCUCACCAAGGCCACGAUGCAUAGCCGCCCUGAGAGGGUGAGCGGCCACACUGGGACGGAGACACGGCCCAGACUCCUACGGGAGGCAGCAGUAGGGAAUCUUCGGCAAUGGACGAAAGUCUGACCGAGCAACGCCGCGUGAGUGAAGAAGGUUUUCGGUUCGUAAAACUCGUUGUUUGGGGAAGCGGUAUCUAACCAGAAAGCCACGGCUAACUACGUGCCAGCAGCCGCGGUAAUAC